rnacentral:rRNA from 1 species
CUACGGGGCGCACCAGUGGGGAAUAUUGGACAAUGGGGGAAACCCUGAUCCAGCAAUUCCGCGUGGAUGAUGAAGGGUUUAGGCUCGUAAAGUCCUUUUAGUUGGGAAGAUAGUGACGGUACCAACAGAAAAAGCACCGGCUAAUUACGUGCCAGCAGCCGCGGUAAGACGUAAGGUGCAAGCGUUAUCCGGAAUUACUAGGCGUAAAGGGCAUCUAGGCGGCUAUGUAAGUCAGAGGUGAAAAGUCUGGGCUCAACCGAGGCCUUGCCUUUGAUACUGCUUAGCUAGAGUACGGGAGAGGAGGGCGGAACUACAAGUGUAGAGGUGAUAUUCGUAGAUAUUUGUAGGAAUGCCGAUUACGAAGGUAGCUCUCUGGACCGAUACUGACGCUGAAGUGCGAAAGCUAGGGGAGCGAACAGGAUUAGAUACCCCUGUAGUC